CUUAGGGUCACUGUAAGCAGGAGGCUGGUGUGAUUUCCAGUCUCAGAGUCCCGGUCGCCCGCGGGAACAAUAGCAGCCGCCUGCCCGGGAGGUCGGGCUCUCGGCACAAAGCCGGCUUGGUCCGCGCGGCUACAAGACUCGCGCGGUGACCCGGCUGCCGUCACUCGCCGGUGUUCCCGCGUCCACCUGGAACUCUCCGAGAAAGACAAACGCGGUUCCUCCUACUUUGGAGCAAGUCUGGGCCAGCUGGGAGCCGACCAGAAACCGCAAGCGGAGGAGAUGCUGGCGCUCCGGGUGAGCGCUAAGGGAGGGGGCGACACACAGUCCUGCGCCUGCCCAGCAGCGACGAGGAUAGCGCUCCAGGCACGCCGGAAGGGAAGGUCGGGGACGUCUCUGCACAGCACCCGAAGGGAGGGCCACUACUUUCUGAGCUCUAACCGCCGCCCACCAGCCCAGACCCCAGACCUCACACUUCAUAGCAAACCUGCACCCACGCUGUCCCUUGACCCAUUGUGACCCAGCAUUCUCCCUCCUACCCCAGUGACACUCACGUAGGUCUCUCUAUUCCUCUCUCUGAAGGCAGGACAAGAACAAUCUCAAUGAAUCAAGGUUUCUUAUUGACCCCAAGUCUGCCUGCAGGCCUCUGAGUGGGAGUAAGUAGGUCAAGGCUGCCACUGAACUUGGAGUAAACUUGAAUUCCAUUUAAAGUUACAAUAAAAGUAUGUGCAUAUCCAUCUACGUCACUCCCAACAUCUUUCCUGCCUAAUGCAGCAGCAAGACUAGUAAGUAUUUUUACUUCAGCUUUUUUGGAAAGUUCAUUUUAGUAGUAUAAAGGAAGAUGGAGGUUUCCACAGACAGGCAUGAACCUUGGAAUUGUUUGCACCAGGUCCGUUUGGGUGGAGUAGGUGGUGACACACUCCUAACUACCUUAACUACCUCUAGAGUAGCAAAUGCACUCUGUAAAUUAUAAAAGCUUUGGCCCAGUCCUCCUUUGUGCUCUUUUCUCUGGCUGAAACACUUCUUCAGUUGGGUCAGCUGCAUUACUCAGCCUUCAUCAAAGUCCUAGAAUGUCUUCCUUCCCUCAGCCCUCUUUGUCCUUAUUAUUUUGGGUGGAAAUGAACUUAUUUUGGGAAAAAAAUGUCGUACUACCAUUUUGUUUCAGACAGAUGAUGAGGCAUUUAAGCUUAAUACAAUAUGCUAACCCAUUGAGCAAUUUAAAAAAAAAACACUCUAAA